UACGGAGGAGGCAAGCGUUAUCCGGAAUUAUUGGGCGUAAAGCGUCCGUAGGUGGUUUUUCAAGUCAGUUGUUAAAGCGUGGAGCUUAACUCCAUAAGGGCAAUUGAAACUGAGAGGCUAGAGUGCGAUAGGGGCAAGGGGAAUUCCCAGUGUAGCGGUGAAAUGCGUAGAUAUUGGGAAGAACAUCGGUGGCGAAAGCGCCUUGCUGGGUCUGCACUGACACUGAGGGACGAAAGCUAGGGGAGCGAAAGGG
rnacentral:rRNA from 1 species